GCUGCUAUUGUUUAUGUUUUCCUUUCUGAAUUCGAGAUCUCAUGCUGCCUAGCAACUGCUCAUUUAGCUUAAAAUAUUCGUGAUCACAUGAUUCAGAAAUCAGACGAUUACGGAAGCGCGCGAAAUUUGUAGGUAUUGAAUUUGGUAUAUGAACCUAAAUCUCAGCCCCCUUGCUUAAUUAUUGGGUCUUGGUUUAUCUUCAUCAAGGAAUCAACAAUAAUGCUGGACUGCACUUAUCAACAAAUCCAACAGAAACCUCAUGAUAAGUUGCUUGAAGCAUUGUUAAUAAGGUGAAUUAUUGGGAAGUCUCCUUCAGCAGACAGUCGUCUGCUAAGCAUUUACGAGAUCCAUGCCUUCUUUGACUGUCUGCCAGAUGAGAUUUGCUCACUAAUUGGCCUACAAAACUAUUUACGGUCAUCAGUCUUUUCUUCAACUAAUCUAGUAGCAUUUUGAGGUGUCUUGGAGUUCCAAUUGGAAAGGUUUUUGAGAUUUGGUGGGGUUUUAAGAGAGAUGCAGUGGUGUUUAAGGGUUAACCGUCACAGUCAGGAAUAAUUGCAAGCUCAGGUCCUUCUCUGCGUGAUACCAAGCUCACUGUGAUUGGACGAUUACUUAGGUGGUUAAUUGUACAUGUCAAGGACUCCAGAUUGUGCCACCUUUUCAGGUGGUUGAUCAUACAUGUGAAGGGCUUCAAAUUGUGCCAGCAUUUCAGGACAUUACUCUUCUAACGGUCGCACAAGCUCGAUGCUGAAGAGCUAUUGCCACACAAUCAAUUUAAUGCAAAAGUUCACAUCUAAAAGAUCAUACUCCAAAUGGUAACACUUUGUGUAGAUGGGUCCCUUUUUUAUUCGGAUACUAUGUAGCCAUUUGUUUUUUACCUUUUCUAUCGAUAUUGCAUAAAGUAUGUUGGUAGUAUUGACUUAUAUAUUUGUAAUACUGCAACACAUGUUAUAUGCAUCUCGCAGAAAUUAUAUUUUUUAUGUAGAAUAAAAGGAGACUAAUAAUGUAAUUU